ensembl:lncRNA
CACAAUUUAAUAUAUUUAAAAUUCAAGCUGUAGCACAACAAAAUGUGGAAAAAGUCAUGUGAAUCAUUUCUGUAUACAGGGAUUAACAAGUAGAGUGAAAAUGACAACUUAUCAUGCAUCGAUGCAACGCCAGAACAACAAAACUAGAUAUGCUAAAGACAAUUUCCCAACAGACAACACACACACUGGAUAGACCCUUCAUGCAUCACAUGAUAAUAACAAUCAAUGAAGAGAUAUUUAAUCGUAUCUACCCCAACACAUACAACAUGACCACAAUAACUUACAGUACGUACCAGAUUUAAGACCUGCAAAAUGGUCGGUGAAUAUUGAGUAUGAUUUUCUCUGUGUGCCUGGGAAAACACGUUCAGCUCUCGGCUCUUGACGUUAAAAAUAAUUUAAUUAGAAGAAUUUGACAUCAUUGACAUUUCAACAAUCUUGGCCUUGUCUCUGUCUGUCCUGUCCCCUCAGUAGCCAUGAUGGUUCAAACAGACCCUCGGCAGCCAUGAUGGAUCAGACAGGCCCUCUGUAACCAUGAUGGUUCAGACAGGCCCUCGGCAGCCAUGAUGGAUCAAACAGGCCCUUGGCAGCCAUGAUGGUUCAGACAGACCCUCAGUAGCCAUGAUGGUUCAGACAGACCCUCAGUAGCCAUGAUGGUUCAGACAGACCCUCGGCAGCCAUGAUGGAUCAGACAGGCCCUCGGCAGCCAUGAUGGUUCAAACAGGCCCUCUGUAACCAUGAUGGUUCAGACAGACCCUCAGUAGCCAUGAUGGUUCAGACAGACCCCGGGCAGCCAUGAUGGAUCAGACAGGCCCUCGGCAGCCAUGAUGGUUCAGACAGACCCUCGGCAGCCAUGAUGGUUCAAACAGGCCCUCUGUAACCAUGAUGGUUCAGACAGGCCCUCUGUAGCCAUGAUGGUUCAGACAGACCCUCGGCAGCCAUGAUGGUUCAGACAGACCCUCAGUAGCCAUGAUGGUUCAGACAAGCCCUCGGCAGCCAUGAUGGUUCAGAGAGACCCUCUGUAGCCAUGAUGGUUCAGACAAGCCCUCGGCAGCCAUGAUGGUUCAGACAGGCCCUCAGUAGCCAUGAUGAUUCAGACAGGCCCUCGGUGGUACAAACAACCUCUUCUUCAUUUCUUCUUCUUAGAGAGAGUGUUGAGCCAGGAGGAAGAGAAGCUGAGACGAGGGGUCUCAUUGGAGGAAGGCGAGGAGGGGGAGGAGUGGGAGGAGGGACCACCUGCCUGUGGUGUGGGGUUCUCUGGCCAAGGCUCAAUCUGGACAGAGAAAGGAGAUGGACAGAUGCCUUCAAAUGCAAGGUACUACAGAUAAGGAAGCCUCAUCUGUUUAGGCCAAUAAGCUACUGAGAAGGUCACGUAGGCUAUUCAAGAGAGCACACCAAGAAUGCAUUAUAUGGAGACACAGAGAGAUGCUUACCUGGAAUCAUUCACGUUUUGUUGGAAAAACUUGUCAAUAAUCAACUGACUGGCUUUCUUUGAUGUCUACAUUAUUCUCUCUGGUAUGCAAUCUGGUUUCUGCUCAGGUUAAGGAUGUGUCACUGCAACCUUAAAAGGUCCUCAAUGAUGUCACCAUUGCCCUUGAUUCUAAGCAAUAUUGUGCUGCUAUUUUUAUUGACUUGGCCGAAGCUUUCGAUACGGUAGACCAUUCCAUUCUUGUGGGCUGUCUAAGGAGUAUUAGUGUCUCUGAGGGGUCUUUGGUCUGGUUUGCUAACUACCUCUCUCAAAGAGUGCAGUGUACAAAGUCAGAAAAUCUGUUGUCUCAGCUGCUGCCUGUCACCAAGGGAGUACCCCAAGGCUCGAUACUAGGCCCCACUCUCUUCUCAAUUUACAUCAACAACAUAGCUCAGGCAGUAGGAGGCUCUCUCUCUCAUCCAUUUAUAUGCAGAUGAUACAGUCUAUUACUCAGCUGGUCCCACCCCGGAUUUUGUGUUAAAUGCUCUACAACAAAGCUUUCUUAGUGUCCAACAAGCUUUCUCUACCCUUAACCUUGUUGUGAACACCUCCAAAACAAAGGUCAUGUGGUUUGGUAAGAAGAAUGCCCCUCUCCCCACAGGUGUUAUUACUACCUCCUGGGGGUUUAGAGCUUGAUGUAGUCACCUCAUACAAG